ACCCUGAUAAUCCGAGAGAUAAGAAGCCUAUUACAUUUGUCGUGGAUGCGUGUGGCUGUAUGUGGAUGAUGAUCUACAAAAUCAACGAAUACAAGUUACUAAAGAUCAGCAUUGGAGCUUCUUCGUAUCCGCACGAAAGCCAAUAUGCGUGCGGAGAAAAUAGUACGUGUCAAUCUACUCAAAACCGCACCUUUAAAAAUAACUUACAAUCCACCUUGACAAACUCUCAUGGCGCAGUAACAAGUCCUCUAAGCAAAAUUUCAUCAGCCGUAACGUCCUCGCCGAAAAGUAAAGCGGAAACUACGAUUCCGACGACGCCUGGCAAAGAAAUCCGUACUUGCGACCAAAGUCUGCUCGUUUUGAACACCGUUUUGUCCUGCUGGAAUAUUUUCUGCCUCUUUUCCAUCGCAUCCCAGAUCCGUUGGUUCCGAAAGAUGAAACGGAGGCAAGACUCGAUCACCAGAAUUAAGAACGAGCGCGAACAAAUGUGCGCUGCUCCGAUAACCAACCGCGGAAGCGAACCAGAACCAGACACUUCCGAGCCGGUGUAUGAAGAAAUCGGGCCGAUUUAUGAAGAAGUGGAGCCGCUGCCGUCCACUUCCGCGUCAUACACGGUCGCUGAUAUUCAUAAUUAGAGUUUUUUUGAUUUUUGUUUUCACUACA